AUUGAACGCUGGCGGCAGGCCUAACACAUGCAAGUCGAGCGGAUGACGGGAGCUUGCUCCUUGAUUCAGCGGCGGACGGAUGAGUAAUGCCUAGGAAUCUGCCUGGUAGUGGGGGACAACGUUUCGAAAGGAACGCUAAUACCGCAUACGUCCUACGGGAGAAAGCAGGGGACCUUCGGGCCUUGCGCUAUCAGAUGAGCCUAGGUCGGAUUAGCUAGUUGGUGAGGUAAUGGCUCACCAAGGCGACGAUCCGUAACUGGUCUGAGAGGAUGAUCAGUCACACGGGGACUGAGACACGGUCCAGACCCCUACGGGAGGCAGCAGUGGGGAAUAUUGGACAAUGGGCGAAAGCCUGGUCCAGCCAUGCCGCGUGUGUGAAGAAGGUCUUCGGAUUGUAAAGCACUUUAAGUUGGGAGGAAGGGCAGUAAGUUAAUACCUUGCUGUUUUGACGUUACCGACAGAAUAAGCACCGGCUAACUCUGUGCCAGCAGCCGCUGUAAAAC
rnacentral:rRNA from 1 species